rnacentral:rRNA from 1 species
CUUUAGAGGAAGUAAAAGUCGUAACAAGGUGUCCUUCCCAGCGAACCUAGGAAGCCUUUGCUAAAAUCGCGACUAUAAACAAUUUCAGCAGGUAGCCUUUUGGGCUGCAACACAAUCGAACUGCGGGGAUCUCCUAAAGCCUAAUGAUACCACCUUUCAGAGGGAAACCUCUAGAGUACGGUAAUAAUUCAUUAGGAUGUUACAAUGGACUAUCCGCAACGAAGCUCCUAACAGUCUUAUAGGCUCAUGGAGAACGUUCACAGACUAAGUGGUUGUGGGUUAGAGUCCUAAUAAGACUCUGCCUAAGAUAUAGUCGGGCUAUCAAGGAGACUUGAUGGAGUGCUUCGCACUGAACCGUUCCGUAGGUGAACCUGCGGAAGGAUCAUUACAGAGUUCAUGCCCGAAAGGGUAGACCUCCCACCCUUGUGUAUUAUUACUUUGUUGCUUUGGCGAGCUGCCUUCGGGCCUUGUAUGCUCGCCAGAGAAUAUCAAAACUCUUUUUAUUAAUGUCGUCUGAGUACUAUAUAAUAGUUAAAACUUUCAACAACGGAUCUCUUGGUUCUGGCAUCGAUGAAGAACGCAGCGAAAUGCGAUAAGUAAUGUGAAUUGCAGAAUUCAGUGAAUCAUCGAAUCUUUGAACGCACAUUGCGCCCCUUGGUAUUCCGGGGGGCAUGCCUGUUCGAGCGUCAUUUCAACCCUCAAGCUUAGCUUGGUAUUGAGUCUAUGUCAGUAAUGGCAGGCUCUAAAAUCAGUGGCGGCGCCGCUGGGUCCUAAACGUAGUAAAAUAUCUCGUUACAGGUUCUCAGUGUGCUUCUGCCAAAACCCAAAUUUUCUAUGGUUGACCUCGGAUCAGGUAGGGAUACCCGCUGAACUUAAGCAUAUC